rnacentral:tmRNA from 2 species
GGGGGUGAUUGGUCUCGACUUGAGUCGUCAGUGUAUCGGUGGCAUGCCGGGGAAGCCUAGUUGGCCCCGUUAAUAAUCUGGGCAAAAAUAAACGCAAACGAAAACGAUGCGUUCAUCGCCGAAGCGGAAAGAAUCGCUAACGGCGAACCAGUCUUAGUCUAAUAUAGACUAAGCCGUCUUGUAAGAAGCGCCUGCGGUCUUAUAAGGCGACUCUAGCAGGAUAGUCUGAUCGAUCGCUUUCGCCGGUCAGUCGAACCUUAAGGAAGCUAGUUCCGUUGACAUUUGUUUGUUUGCAGGUGACGGAAUGAUGCUCAAAAAACAAACUACGCAUGUAGAUGCCUUUACAGUGUCACCCAAGGACGCGGGUUCAAUUCCCGCCACCUCCACCA